rnacentral:rRNA from 1 species
CGACCUCACAUCAGGCGAGACAA